rnacentral:rRNA from 1 species
AUGAAUGAUUCUUCUUGGAAAGUAGAUACUGGCCACAAGUCUGGAUAUCUGACCUACAUUGAGAAGGAAAUGGCUAAAGUGCUGCCACAUGCCGAUCUUAAAGCAGAUCCACAUAUCAGGUCUAAAGUUAAGAUUUUGAAGAAGCAACUUUCGUAUGUUCUGGAAAUUAUGCAAAAUGGUAGUGGGUUUGGAUGGGAUGAUGAAAAGAAGAUGGUAACUGGAGAUAGGGAGACAUAUAUGGGUUGGGCAAAGUCUCGUGAGGGAGCAGGUCCUCUGUACAUGAAGCCUAUGGUUAACUUUGACAAGCUAUAUGAGGUAUAUGCUACUGAUUUAGCUAAAGGAGGGAGUGCUAAAGGUCCGGGUGAAGAAGAAAUUGUAGAAGAUGGAUCAACAGUAGAUGCACAACUUACUAGCAAACCAGCCAAGGAGAAUAUUCCUGAAUUAAAUGAGGAUACAAGCCCAUCCGGUGGUUCUAGGCAUGGUCGUAAGAGAACAUACCCUGAUGAUGAUGCACUUGAGUCAGGUCUUGCAAGUGUGUCGAAUACAAUUGCAAAGUUUUUGGAAGCUGAGCAGGAGAAUGCUAAAACCAUGAAUGGUUUACAGAGAGCAUUUAUGCAUGAAUCGCAAAUUCAUGAGCAAACAUCGGCCAAUAGAACCAAGUUACUUGAUAUUCUCCAGAAUCUUAAGGGUCUCAUAACCGAAGAGGUUGUAAUGGCUAUCCGUGUCAUUGGUGGUGAUGCUGGAAAGACAGAACUUUUCAUCAAUUUGCGUGAUGAUUACAAAGUGGUGUUUGUUCGUCAGGAGCUCGACGCGGCCAAAAAAUAA